rnacentral:rRNA from 1 species
UACGUAGGGCGCGAGCGUUGUCCGGAAUUAUUGGGCGUAAAGAGCUCGUAGGCGGUCUGUCGCGUCGGAUGUGAAAACUUCACGCUUAACGUGGAGCCUGCAGUCGAUACGGGCAGACUUGAGUUCGGCAGGGGAGACUGGAAUUCCUGGUGUAGCGGUGAAAUGCGCAGAUAUCAGGAGGAACACCGGUGGCGAAGGCGGGUCUCUGGGCCGAUACUGACGCUGAGACGCGAAAGCGUGGGGAGCAAACAGG